ACAUUUUAUAUGGUGGACAUUCAAAAAGCAGCUGGAGAUACUGGCGAAUACCUCAAGUUUUACAAGAACUUUUGUAGCAAUCUGGAGGAUAUAAUCUGGAAACCGCCUCAUGAAGCAAGUAAAUCAAGGAUCUCCAAGACCAAAAGCAAAAGACGAUAGUUUCAUCCCUCCCUUCUGUUUUGAUUGAAAAGAAAAAGGAUAAAAAACAAAAAAGUAACAUGGAACACAUACUCAAAGAGGGGUUUGACAUGUGGAAACAUGGCCCAACAUAUCAAGGUUAAAUUAUAAAUAUGGUUUGCCUAGGUUUUUCUACAGCAGCGUUUUAUUUUUACUUUAAUUCUCCAAAUUCCAUACUUGAAUGAUUAUUUCCAAGUGUUAUAUUUUUUUAGGCACCAGGAAAUCAAAUUCUCCCGGGUCGACUUUCCCUUGAGAUCUUUUGUGUGAAUUGCGUUGAGGUUGGCAAACUCCAAACCAACUUCUCAACACAUGAUCCUUUAUUUUGUUAUGGUGAAAAGUUGGUUUAUAUGAAAAUGGCUUAUCAAUUGAGUGUUUA